AGCGGGGGCGGCGGGCCGGGCCGGGCACGCUUACGGCUUGUGCCUGCCCGAUCUGGACGGGAAAGGGGCGGAGGCGAAGGGGUCGGCGGGGGCCGGCUCUGUAGUCCGGCGGGGGAGGGAGCGGACCGGCCCGGCUCCGGCUCCGGCCGGCCCGACUCUGCAGGCGGCCGGGCCCUCGGGGCCGUAGUGCCGGGAAUACUUGGCCAGGGCCUGCGGGCGGAAGGCCUUGGCGGCGGCCGCGGGCCCCCCGGGAUCCGGGCCGGUGGCGGCGGCCGGGCCGGAUCGGGAAGGGGGUCCGGCCGUCUGGAGGAAGCCCCCCGCCGGCAGCCGGGGCCCGGGGGAGGGGGCCGAGGGGGGCCACGGAGCCGGCGGGCCGGGGGCUCCCGGGGCCCGGGCGGGGGGCUCCUCCGGGCCCUCCCUCUUGGCGAACGGGGCCCCGAGGAACACGUCCGCCUCCCGGGCCCGCCCGCCCCGGCCCAAGAACGGGGCUCGGCUGAACACGUCUCCCUCGUCGUCGUCGUCGCGGCCCGCCGCCCCGGACCACCGGAAAGGCGCCGUGGCGAAGACGUCCGGCCCGCCGGGGCCGCCCCCCUCCGCCCCGGGGGAGCCUUCCCGGGGGGCGGCGGCGGUCGCGGGGGACGACCCCCGGGCCGUCGGCGGCGUCUCGUCUUCCUCCUCCUCUUCCGAGUCCAUGAGCAAAGGGCGGGACCCGCUGGAGUCCAACACGUCUCCCUCGGGGUCGGGCCCUUCUUCCUCGCUGCUGUGGAACGAGCUGUGACCGGAAGGGCCCCCGCGGGCCAGGAAGUCCGCCUCGAGGUGGUGCGUCGGCCCGGGGCCGCCCGGGGGUCCCAGAGCGGCUGGGGGCCCGCCGCCCUCACGCCCGCCGGCUCCUCGGACGACGACGGGCGCUCUCUGGAGACCUACGUGGGGCACAAGAACACGGCGUCAGUCUGGCGGGAGGCCGGGGUCGGGGGGGACGGCAGGCGGCUCCACGCCCGGCCCCCCGACACGUCCCACGGCCGAGACGACGGACACGGAGAAUGGAAAAGGAGAGACGGCGAGGCAGGGGAUCGGGCGGGGACGCGGCCCACGGGCCGGAACACGACCCGGCCCCGGCCCCGCGUGCCGGGAGGUGGAGAAAGGGAGAUGAAAAUGUUAGACACGGCGACAUCCAACGCAACUCGACGUUCCCCGGCGUCCGGCCGGGAGGACCCCUCGACCCGAUUCCCGUGUGGACCCGGCCCGCGGAGAGGUUCCGGGACGGCUCGGGAGAGCGCGGGCCCGGAGUCAGGGGACCCGGGUCCCGGUCCCGGCUCGGCCCCGGCCGGCUGUGUGACCUUGCGUGAGUCCCCUGACCUCUCCGGGCCUCGAUGUCCUCGUCGCCGAUGGCGGCCUCUCCCUGGGAUGUGGCGUGAGGAUAAAGCGAGAACGCCGAGGGGAGAGCGCUUCGGGAAAAAUAAGCGCGCCCUCGGAAAAGCCCGGUGCUUGACACACAGUAAGCGCUAA
rnacentral:lncRNA from 1 species